GUGGGGAAUAUUGGACAAUGGGCGAAAGCCUGAUCCAGCAAUGCCGCGUGUGUGAAGAAGGUCUUCGGAUUGUAAAGCACUUUAAGUUGGGAGGAAGGGCAUUAACCUAAUACGUUAGUGUUUUGACGUUACCGACAGAAUAAGCACCGGCUAACUUCGUGCCAGCAGCCGCGGUAAUACGAAGGGUGCAAGCGUUAAUCGGAAUUACUGGGCGUAAAGCGCGCGUAGGUGGUUUUGUAAGUUGGAGGUGAAAUCCCCGGGCUCAACCUGGGAACUGCAUCCAAAACUGCAUGACUAGAGUACGGUAGAGGGUAGUGGAAUUUCCUGUGUAGCGGUGAAAUGCGUAGAUAUAGGAAGGAACACCAGUGGCGAAGGCGACUACCUGGACUGAUACUGACACUGAGGUGCGAAAGCGUGGGGAGCAAACAGGAUUAGAAACCCCGGUAGUCC
rnacentral:rRNA from 1 species